UGUUCCUCGUCCCGAACCUCUAUGGCUUCUAUUCUAUUAUAUGUUUCUAAGGUUCUUGCAACGUUAAUGCUUUAGGUUUGAGUUCGGUUCUUACGUGCCGUGAUUAAAGUUGCUGUGGUUGAGGUUGUGUUGUUGCGGGCUGUGAGAAAAAGAGUUUCUGUCGCGUGGUUAAGUCGUAUUCGAGUUUUUUCCCUUUUCAGGAUAUGGGUGAUGGAGUUUCAGGAGAGUUAUAUUUAUUUUCUGUUUAUUCGACAUUAUUUUGUAUUAUCUUAGUUUUAUGUUUCCCUUGCCUUUAAUUUUGCAAGUCUUCACAAGAGGGAUAGGAUUUUGAUUAUGCAAUGCUUGUAAUAUUAAUAAUAUGUAGAUAUAUGUAUAUG